GAUGAACGCUGGCGGCGUGCCUAAUACAUGCAAGUCGAGCGAACAGACGAGGAGCUUGCUCCUCUGACGUUAGCGGCGGACGGGUGAGUAACACGUGGAUAACCUGCCUAUAAGACUGGGAUAACUUCGGGAAACCGGAGCUAAUACCGGAUAAUAUAUUGAACCGCAUGGUUCAAUAGUGAAAGACGGUUUUGCUGUCACUUAUAGAUGGAUCCGCGCCGCAUUAGCUAGUUGGUAAGGUAACGGCUUACCAAGGCGACGAUGCGUAGCCGACCUGAGAGGGUGAUCGGCCACACUGGAACUGAGACACGGUCCAGACUCCUACGGGAGGCAGCAGUAGGGAAUCUUCCGCAAUGGGCGAAAGCCUGACGGAGCAACGCCGCGUGAGUGAUGAAGGUCUUCGGAUCGUAAAACUCUGUUAUUAGGGAAGGACAAAUGUGUAAGUAACUAUGCACGUCUUGACGGUACCUAAUCAGAAAGCCACGGCUAACUACGUG
rnacentral:rRNA from 1 species